CACGCCGUCUGCGGGACACUUAAGACAAAGUGUCCUCCGGCUCAUCCCCAGCUGGGUUUUUGCUUGCUUUACUGCUUGCUGAAUUAAUAAAAAUUUGCUUUCAUUAAUUAUUAUAUAAAUUGACCCUUCUAUUUUGUCACGACAAUUUAUAACACUCCCCUCAGCACUCGCUGUGCUGCCUAGCACCCAGCAUCCGACACAGAUUAACCAGCGCUCUCCAGCUGCGACGCUGCCGCACCGGGGCUGCUCCCACUCCACGCCUGGGGAAUUCCACAACGCGGGGCUUGGGCCACACGGGCCAGAGGCACCUUCCCUCCAGCCGGCGACAGCGACAGACACAGCUCUGCUAAGACCACAUGGCCACUGCCGGAAAAGUUAUCAGGUGCAGGGCUGCUGUUGCCUGGGCCCCCAGCAAACCUCUCUCUGUUGAGGAGGUGGAAGUUGCACCUCCAAAGGCAGGGGAAGUCCGGAUCAAGAUUGUGGCCACAGGCAUCUGUCAUACAGAUGAUCACGGUUUGAGAGGUUCCUUUCCUAAUGUAGAUUUCCCAGUUAUACCAGGCCAUGAAGGAGCCGGGAUUGUGGAAAGCAUUGGAGAAGGAGUGACCUCUGUGAAACCAGGGGACAAAGUGAUCCCACUUGCCAUCCCUCGGUGUGGGGAAUGCAGCUUCUGCCGCAAUCCUGACUCCAACUACUGCCAGAAGUUCCAUUUCUCUGAACCACAAAACCUGCUGCCAGACAAGACCAGCCGCUUCUCUUGCAAAGGGAAGCAGAUCCACCACUUCAUGUGGAUCAGCACCUUUGCCGAAUACACCGUGGUCCCAGAGUACGCCGUUGCCAAGAUCGAUGCUGCGGCACCUCUGGACAAAAUCUGCUUGUUUGGCUGUGGGUUUUCCACUGGCUAUGGGGCUGCCAUCAACACAGCCAAGGUAAAACCAGGCUCCACCUGUGCCAUCUUUGGCCUCGGAGGAGUUGGCCUCUCCGUCGUCAUGGGCUGCAAGGCAGCUGGAGCUUCCCGCAUCAUUGCCGUGGACAUCAACAGCGACAAGUUCUCCAAGGCCAAGGAGCUGGGAGCCACCGACUGCAUCAACCCCCGAGACUUGAGGAAGCCCGUCCAGGAGGUGCUCACCGAGAUGACCGGGCAGGGCGUGGACUACUCCUUUGAGGCCAUCGGGCUCGCAGACACCAUGAUUGCUGCCUUGGCUUCCUGCAAUAUGAAUACCGGUGUCUGUGUGAUGAUUGGGGAACUGGAUUCUGGUUUAAAAAUUUCCAUCGAUCCCAUGCUUCUGGUGACUGGGCGUACCUGGAAAGGGACUAUUUUUGGAGGCUGGAAAUCAAGGGAAUGUAUCCCCAAAUUAGUUUCCAGCUAUUUGGAGAAGAAAUUCAAUUCAGACUUGCUGAUCACACACACGCUGCCAUUCGCUGAAGUGAACAAGGGAUUUGAGUUGUUACGUGCUGGAAAAAGUAUCCGCACUGUCCUGCUCUUCUGAAGGACACAGCCAAGGAAGCCCAGCAGAGGGACCAGCACAGCAGAUGCUCUCCUGGCCCUGGCACCUUCUCAAGCAGCACCUCCUUGUGGGGCACAAGGAGAAGAGAACAAGGAAUUCACCUGUGCUGGUGCCACUGCUGCUCCUGCUGUGCCUGGACAGGACAUAGAAGGAUGUCUCUCCCAAGAAAAUGCUUUUACUAAUAAAGAUUUUUUGUCAAACUCA